CCUUUGAGUGAAGACCACUAAGUGAGGAGGAAGGAGCUUGCAAGCCGCCGGGUCAUGCACCACUACCCAGACAGUGUUGUUGCCUGCCCAGCAGCCAUUUCUCUCAGGUCUUCUCUGCUAGUGCAGCCUCAGUUUUGCUCAGAUACUGGCUGAAAAGUCCCCAACCUCAGAGGAGGCCAGUUCCUGCCUCAAGCCGGGGGAUAAACCGUGGUUGCUCAGAAACAGCCAUGGGGCUCCCUUUCCAUGCCAGUAGGUUAGGCCGUGUGUGCCUGUGUGCCCAACUCUUGCCAUAAAGUGUAGGAGAAACUUGGCCAGGGGAUGCUAUGGAAAAUAUUUUUCCCAGAUGAAAAGGAGUAUCUUCCCAGAGAGAAAGCUUCCUUCUGCACCUGUCUCCUACCUUUCUCCUUCAGAUGUUGCUGUUUGGAGCUGAGGCAGCCGUCCUGUGACCAUCUGUCAACAAAGGUAAGGAUAAAAAGACAAGCUCAAAAAGAUAUUGGCGCGAUAUUUAUCAAAGUUAUUUUUAAGAGCAAAAAUGAAGAAAGAAAUUUUUAAAAUGUCCAUACAGUGAAAUACAAUCAUAGACAUGUUAUUGGUAAGAAAAUGUUUACGAUAAUUUAUUAGGGGACAAAGGCAGGUCACGAAUGGGAUGUAGGAACCCAUCCUGUGGGUAGGUGGGCGUGUCUGCAAAAGACCAUAGGAAAAUACAUCAAUACUGGUCAUCUUUGGAUGGUAAAAUUAUGAGUGACAUUUGUUUUCUAAUUUUUCUUCAAUGCAUUUGUAAUACAUUGUGUAUAUCUCAGUACUGAAUUGUAAUGUGAAAUGUUUUCUUACGGUGUGAUAUGGUUUGGAU
rnacentral:lncRNA from 1 species